UUUUUUUUUUUUUUUUUUUUUGGCCAUGACUUCGAGAUGCAGAAGUUUUCAGGCCAGGGAUUGAACCUGAACCACAGCAGUAACAAUGCUGAGUCCCCAACCACUAAGCCACCAGGAAACUCCCUCAGUUUUCCUCAAAGUGAAGCUCACUUCAUUUAUUUUUGAUAAAUAUUCAAGUCUAAAUAAACAUAGUUUGUCCGACAGUUGUUCUUUUAAGUAGAAGUGCCAUUCUGCAAACCUCGUGGCUAGUUCAUCCAUAGCACAAACAACUGCACAAGUGAUCUUCCUCAACCAGGAUGCAGCCAAGUGCUCUAUGAGUAUUUCCCACUUUACUGCAGACAAUACUAAAGAUGUGAACUUAAGGGUUGAGGUUUAAUACAAUUAAUGUUUUACUGCUUCAUCAAGGACAGUCUUAUGUUUGUCAAGCCAGGAGUUUGCAGGGGUGAAGGACAAAUGACUGCCAGCACAUUGUGCUGCCACUGCCUUGGAUUUAUGCUAAGACACCAACAGUUUUAUCCCCACUGCUUUAGCAUCAGUGUGAGUGUGAACCCAGUGGGAGAGGCAUGUAACAUCAUAGCAUAGCACUACUACGACAAUAGUUUUGACUUCACAAACCCCCUGAAAGGGUCCUGGGAGCCCCCAGGGUUCAUGGACCACACUAUCAGAACCAUCACUGUAGAGGUAAGCUACCUACCUUUUCUGGCUUUCAGUUUCCUUGUUUAUAAAAUAGGAUUAAUAAUACCAGUUACCUCAUAGUGUUGCUGUGAAAGCUAAAUGAUUUAAAACAAAGCAUUUAAAACAGCCCCUGGCACAGUGUGUUACACAAGCAAUUGCCGAUAUUAUAAUCAGAUAUCCAAUGUCAUUAAAUGUUCUCCCCAAAUACAUUUUUUGAUAGUGUAUUAUUCCACAUUAAUUUAAAUAAUGGUUAGAUAUUAGGUUGUUUCCAAUUGUUCAACACCCUUCUACAUAAGUCUUUGGCCCUUUUUUGAUAAUUUAGAGUGAAUUUCUGAGGUAGAACUGCCCAGAGCCCAUCUGUUUUUUCACAAUACUGUUAAAAAGUAUAUAGGCAAUAUCAAAGUGGGAGAGCUAAAAAGAGAGGGGGUCUAUGGGCCAAGUGAGUACUUGACUUCAGCAGGGAGCAUUUCUUUUUUUUUAAUGGCUACACCCAUGACAUAUGGAAGUUCCUGGGCCAGGGAUCAAACCCAUACCUCUGCAAUGACCCAAGCCACUGCACACUGCAGUUGCAUUAACCCACUCUACCACAGUGGAGACUCCCUCGAACAUUUCUUUUUUUUCCUUCUUCUUCUUUUUAGAGCCACACUUGCAGCAUAUGAAAGUUUCUACAGCUGCUGGCCUACGCCACAGCAAUGUGGGAUCCAAGCCACAUCUGUGACCUACACCACAGCUCAUGGCAACAUCGGAUCUUUAACCCACUGAGCAAGGCAAGGGAUAGAACCCAUGUCCUCAUGGAUACUAGUUGGGUUCGUUACCGCUGAGCCAGAAUGAGAACUCCAGGAAGCAUUUCUUUAUGUGGACGUGACCCAGGGUGUUGCUAUGAAUAAGAAUGAAUUAACUAUGAUGAUGAAUUGGAAGAAGUCAAGGUGCUGGCUGAGUCACCCUCAUGAACAGUGAAGUCACCAGGUUGGCAUGCAGAGGACCAGACUGGGACACAGGUCCCAUCAUGACUUGAUGGGUGGACUCUGCCAGAACAUGACUUCCCUGAGGAACCACACCCAGGACCAGGAAAGCCAAAACGGACAGUAUCUUUAAAACCAAUACAUAUAAAAGAUUCCUAAGCCCUAGACAAUGAGCCAUUUCUUUCAAGUAAUAAUUUGAUUCAAAAAUACAGAGUUCCUGGAGUUCCAUGGUGGCUCAGCAGUUAAUGAAUCCAACUAGCUUCCGUGAGGACACGGGUUUGAUCCCUGGCCUCGCUCAGUGGGUUAAGAAUGUGGUGUUGCCAUGAGCUGUGGUGUAGGUCAAAGAAACGGCUCUACUCUGGCGUUGCUGUGGCUGUGGUAUAGGCCGGCAUCUAGAGCUCCAAUUUGACCCCUAGCCUGGGAACCUCCAUAUGCUGCAGGUGUGGCCCUAAAAAGAAAAAAAAAAAAAAAAAAAAAACCCCAAAACCAAAAAACUAGAUUUCCCCAAAAUGCAGACACAAGCAUCUACAAAUUCAUUAUUCAGAAAUAGAACUCAGGAAUUCCUGUCAUGGCUCACAGUAACAAACCCAACUAGUAUCCAUGAGGAUGUGGGUUUGAUCCCUGGCCCUGCUCAGAGGGACAGGGAUCCAACAAUGCCAUGAGCUAUAGUGUAAGUCGCAGAUGAGGCUGGGAUCCCAUGUUGCUGUGGCUGUGGCUAUGGCUGGCACCUGAAGCUCUGAUUCGACCCCUAGUCUGGGGACUUCCUUAUGCCACAGGUGUAGCUCUAAAAAAUAGCAAAAAAAAAAAAAAAAAAA
rnacentral:lncRNA from 1 species